UACGUUCCCGGGCCUUGUACACACCGCCCGUCACACCAUGGGAGUCAAUUGCUCCAGAAACGGCUUGCCUAACCGUAAGGGGGCGGUCUUUAAGGAGUGGUUGGUAACUGGGGUG
rnacentral:rRNA from 1 species